rnacentral:lncRNA from 1 species
CGCUUCCGCGGGCUAGUUUGGGAGGAAGUCAGAAGGAGCCUUCCGGCCGGGUGCUACGCUCCUUGCGGUCGCUUCGACUGUCUGGUCUACACAGGCGCGCCCCUGCGCAGCCUCCUCCUCCUCCCAGGCACCUCUUCGGACGCGAACACCGUAAACCUCAGGCUUGCUUCUGCAUAAACGAUUCUGCCGUGGCACGCAUUCGGUCCGCAAACGUGCGCUACAGCGCCACAGACACACUGCCCCGGGCCGGGGAAAUGAUGGUGGUGGUGGCGCAGGCCGAAGGCGGGGAGGUUGCAGCGGAGAGGCUGUGGGGGGAGGCCGGGCAAACGGGUCCUCCACGCGUCCUCUCCUUUCAGCCGGUCACGGGCGGGGUCUCCCGCUGCCCCACGGUUACGGACAGCAGUUCCACUGCAGGGGCCAGAGGGCCAGGACAGAAUCUCCCCGCCCUUCCUUGGGGGCAUUUUGGGGGGGGGGGGGUCCCCGAGACUUCAUGGCGAAGGCAGAGGCCCAGACGCCCUCUCCUGGGCUGAGCGCAGCUGCAAACCACACGGCCAGGAACCUUCAGCGUCAGGAACCACCACCCACAGACACCCCGUCUCUCUGCCCUCGAGCGUGGCAAUCCUUCAACUCGGUCCCACCUCCCGCCCCACCCUCCUAGUCUUGGGGUAGCUCCGCCCCUCCUUAGUUCAACCAGAUUAACAGCCGCUACCCCGGGAGUCAGGCCCCUCGUCAUCCUUGGGAUCGCUUCCCCUUCCACUCCCCCUUUCCUGGGAAUUAGGCAUAACCGAGUUUCAAGGAAUGAUAAACUUUCCGAGACUGAAAGGACGCUUAAAGUUUAGGUCUCGAGAUUAUGCCGCUGCUCAAUAUUAAAGCGGCCCAGAGCAAACUUGCCGAGGAGCCUAAUAAAAAUUGAUCCUCUCUGCUCUGCGGCAGGCGGGAAAUAGGCUGGCUGAGCCGGGUAAUAGUGGAAGAAGGCUCCCUCUGAAAUGACAGAUGAAGUCAUAAACAAGUUUGAUCUUGGAAUCAAGCUUCGAUAAAUAUUAAACACAGUCUGCCCCCCCUCUUUGCGCGAGUGGAUUAUGAUAUAUGGCGCGUCGAAACUUUAAAAUAAGGAAAUACCAGAGAAAAUGAUCUCAAUAAAUUUUCUAAGUAUAAACGUUGAUUAUGUUUCGAUUUUCAUUCAAGGGCCUCUGCUGUUCGUUCUUUGGUGCAAAUGACAUCUUGCAAUAGGCUUUUGGGGAAAGGGCCCCUGUUUGAAAAAGAGAGCCCCAGAGGUGUACAAUUUAUGUAAUCUGCGGCUGGAAAAUGAAUUGUGUAAUUUAUUGGAAAACAGAAAGUCAUGAAGAUUGGAUCAGCAUAGCCGAGUCCCAACACCCCUCCCCACAUCCAUCAAGUUCCAAUUAACAGCCUAACCAGAGAGCUUUAAUGGGUUUCCAAUCUAGUGGCCUGAUAGACUCAUCAAUUCCUCUGGGAGAAAUUAAGAAAAUCGACCGCCCCUUGGCGACGCAGUGUCAUUCCUUUCUGCAACUAUAUGUC